UCGCAGAAUCUUACGUACACAACGUAUAUUAUAGUUCCAGCCAAAAUAAUUCCUGUCGGUGGACACCGGACGAAUUAAAAAUUGGUGCAAUGAAUAUCGGACGAAUGAUGCCAGUAGUUAGCAUCUGUUAGCAGGUAGUGUAGAGCGCAAGCAGGCCGGUUAAACGUAUUUCGACGUGCCGGACGAAUAAUUAAGCCUAAUCGCAAAAAUUACCGCUUUGUUUGACGGUUCGUCGAGAUGACCGGCAAGCGAGCAUCUCCUGCUCAGCUACACUACAUCUCUGCACUCCAGUCCCUCCGAGUUACCUCCUAUAUAUAUGUCGCGUUGCACUUUGAUGUAGCAGGCGUAGGUGUUUGCUUGUUUGCGCGCCAGUGGGGACAGUGAGAAAAUCACCGCGGCGAUAUGGAAAUCGACAUGGCAGUAGUGACGCGCGCAAAGGCAAUAAAUCAAAGUGGUCUGGAAUAAUUAUGAAUGACUGCGAAAACUUAUGCGGCUGGUUUAUGAUGCAACUUCAAUGUGAAAGUAAAUACAGGAUGGACUUUAGAGUAAAUUCAAUCACAUUUGAUUUAGAUUUCAAAAUGAGUAAUUUCCAAGGAACAGAUGAAAAAAAUAUCAUGAGCAGGAGGACUACUUGGAGCGCUAUUGGAGUAUCCAAACCCGCUAAAAAACAUCUUGUCCAGUUGCGUUGUUUGUACAGAAGAGGAAUCUAAGAGAAUUCGCGAAAAGCGUGUACACGAUAUAUCUAAGGUAAAAA